UGGCCCAAUAAUUCUGCUUCUGAAUACACGUGUUGAAGAGAUUCUCACACAUAUCCACAGGGUGCCUGUGCAGCAGUAUUCACUGUGAUAGGAAGUGAGAAGCAGUCUGAGUGUUCAUUGCUGAGGGAAUCAAGGGCAAAAUAUCAUGGAUGCACUCAUGGACAAAUAAGCAGCAGUUUGAAGCAACAACCUAGAUGGAUGUACAGCCAUCAAGAGGAUCUUAAAGUGUGGUCUUUAGUGGAAAAAAAGGUUACAUUUGAACAUAUUUAUCUGCUAAAGCAAAAUAAUUCCCAUCAUUCUAUAGCAGAAGCAAUGUAUGGGAGACUGAGUAAUUACAUAUAAGCUCACAUCACUAUCUCUUCCACCACUGUCAUCCAUCAUGACUGAUCUGGGAGAUGAAACAGCACAGAUCUAAAGGACGUGGCUGGAGUGCAAUGGCAUGGUAUCGGCUCACUGCAACCUC
rnacentral:lncRNA from 1 species